rnacentral:rRNA from 1 species
GUAACGGCGAGUGAAGCGGCAACAGCUCAAAUUUGAAAUCUGGCCUCUUUGGGGUCCGAGUUGUAAUUUGUAGAGGAUGUUUCGGGCACCGCUCCGGUUUAAAUUUCUUGGAACAGAAUGUCAUAGAGGGUGAGAACCCCGUCUUGGACCGGCAGUAGGGCCCAUGUGAAACUCCUUCGACGAGUCGAGUUGUUUGGGAAUGCAGCUCAAAAUGGGUGGUAAAUUUCAUCUAAAGCUAAAUAUUGGCCAGAGACCGAUAGCGCACAAGUAGAGUGAUCGAAAGAUGAAAAGCACUUUGAAAAGAGAGUUAAACAGUACGUGAAAUUGUUGAAAGGGAAGCGCUUACAACCAGACUUGCGCGCGGCGGUUCCCCCUUCCUUCUGGUUGGGUUACUCCGCCGUGUCCAGGCCAACAUCGGUUCUGGGGGUCGGUUAAAGGCUUGGGGAAUGUAUCUACCCUUCGGGCGUAGACUUAUAGCCCCGAGUGUCAUGCGACCUCCCGGGACCGAGGAACGCGCUUCGGCUCGGAUGUUGGCGUAAUGGUUGUCAGCGACCCGUCUUGAAACACGGACCAAGGAGUCUAACAUCUAUGCGAGUGUUUGGGUGUCAAACCCGGAACGCGGAAUGAAAGUGAACGGAGGUAGGAAGCUUUGGCUGCACUAUCGACCGAUCCUGAUGUCUUCGGAUGGAUUUGAGUAAGAGCAUAGCUGUUGGGACCCGAAAGAUGGUGAACUAUGCCUGAAUAGGGUGAAGCCAGAGGAAACUCUGGUGGAGGCUCGCAGCGGUUCUGACGUGCAAAUCGAUCGUCAAAUUUGGGCAUAGGGGCGAAAGACUAAUCGAACCAUCUGGUAGCUGGUUCCUGCCGAACUUUCCUUCAAGUGUUACCCCGCUGAAACUUAAGCAUAUCAAUAAGCGGAGGAAAAGAAACCAACAGGGAUUGCCUCAGUAACGGCGAGUGAAGCGGCAACAGCUCAAAUUUGAAAUCUGGCCUCUUUGGGGUCCGAGUUGUAAUUUGUAGAGGAUGUUUCGGGCACCGCUCCGGUUUAAAUUUCUUGGAACAGAAUGUCAUAGAGGGUGAGAACCCCGUCUUGGACCGGCAGUAGGGCCCAUGUGAAACUCCUUCGACGAGUCGAGUUGUUUGGGAAUGCAGCUCAAAAUGGGUGGUAAAUUUCAUCUAAAGCUAAAUAUUGGCCAGAGACCGAUAGCGCAC